AUGGCGAAGCAUCGCCUCCUUGCCGUGCUCCUCAUCGGGAUAGUUGCAGCUUCCUCUUUCAACCAAGCAGCUACGGCUGGCCGAGGCCUUGCUGUUGUUGAGAAGUUCGCAGAGCUAGAGCCAAAGCCAGAACCCAAACCAGAGCCAAUGCCCAAACCUAUGCCACACCCAGAGUCAGAGCCCUGCAAACCUGAACCGCUGCCCAAACCCGAACCAAAGCCUGGACAGAAACCUGAACCAGAACCCAAGCCCAAGCCGAUGCCAAAACCAAAGCCAAAGCCCAAGCCCUGCUCCAAACCGAAGCCAGAUCCUAAGCCCGAGCCAAUGCCGAAACCCGAACCAAAGCCGGAGCCCAAGCCUAAUGAACCGAAACCGAAGCCGCCUCCUAAGUGCAAACCACCGACAGCUCACAACUGA
rnacentral:rRNA from 1 species